rnacentral:rRNA from 1 species
UAGGGAAUUUUCCACAAUGGGCGAAAGCCUGAUGGAGCAACGCCGCGUGCAGGAUGAAGGCUUUCGGGUCGUAAACUGCUUUUAUAUGUGAAGACUUCGACGGUAGCAUAUGAAUAAGGAUCGGCUAAUUCCGUGCCAGCAGCCGCGGUCAUACGGAAGAUCCAAGCGUUAUCCGGAAUUACUGGGCGUAAAGAGUUGCGUAGGUGGCAUAGUAAGCAGAUAGUGAAAUGAUGCGGCUCAACCGCAUGUCCAUUAUCUGAACUGCUAAGCUAGAGUAUAUGAGAGGUAGCUGGAAUUCCUAGUGUAGGAGUGAAAUCCGUAGAUAUUAGGAGGAACACCGAUGGCGUAGGCAGGCUACUGGCAUAUUACUGACACUAAGGCACGAAAGCGUGGGGAGCGAA